AAAAACAUGUUUCCCCAUGUGGCUGCACUCAUCAUCCAGAGACCAUCCUGUAUUUCAGCCCCUUUCAGAUGUCCCAACUGUUCUUUCUUCAAGAAAAAGGCUUUGUCACGGAGGUGCAUAUUCAUACAUUGGUUCCAGGACAGAGAAGUGGUUGGACUGUUCUCCAUAUGCCAUGCGACCUCUGCUGAUAAACGGGAAAAGGGGGAGGGGAUAUUGGGGGCUGCCUUGACAACCGCUCUCCUUUCUGCAACUGCGCGAUUCUGAUUAGCUGGAAAUGUAGUAGUGUGCACGGCUGUGUAUUAUAAAGAACCCACUGCUACUACAAGGUCUACUUCUUUCCAAAGGUUCCAUUUGUUUUAGUGUGCCAAGCUGAAAGGAACUCGUUUGGACCCACAUUCUGCUGUCAAUGCAUGGUUUCUUCAUGUUUUUUAUUUAUUUUCAUACUUAAACACAAACCUCUUAAAGCACAUAUUUAUACAAAACCUAGAACCAACCAUUUAUUUCCAGUUUAAAUGCAGCUAGCAUUUUGAUUUGGAACCUGUUCAAGAAAAGGGUUCCCUUGAAAAUGAUAAUUUCCCUCAGCGGAUUCUUCAGUACUGUACCUCAUAUAUUUGUUAUUAUAUUUAUUAUUACAUGUAUUAAAGUAUAGCUAAUUCAAUGUACAAUGUUUUUAGUAGGCUUUGCAUCCUUUAUGCAGAUCUAAAGUAUAUGCUGCAUGUUACAUCCACGAUAGUAAUGCAUUUGGAGCUGCAUAGCUUUUUUUAAAUCAUUCAUGUAACCAAAUGUCAUCCUACGGGUGGCAAAGGGGUAAUGCCACAUUUAUUCAACCACCAAAUUAAAAAUGAAUAAUAUCC